UUUCCUUAUUAUUUCCCCCCACCCACCAAACUCGAUUUUAGCCCGUACAAUCCCCAAUCCAUCUUUCUUUCCCAAUUUCGUCUUCUCCAUUUUCAUCAAACCUACGAACUAACCCACCUCAUUAUGUUGGCUCACGACCAAGAAAUCGCAUGGCAUUUCCUCAGGCAUAGCAUUUCUUCUUCACUCUUGCAUCUUUUCCUCUUCAGCUGCACUACAGAACUGGACUCGGGCGAAGCAUUUCCAAUCGGCAACACUGGGAGAGAGACUAGUUAUAUACGCAGGAAGUGCCCCAUCAGCAUGUUUUAGACUUCCUCAUCAGUUGAUGGCUCCAGUUGAUGCUGGACCUUUUGGAUCACCUAUGGACUUCUUGGGUGAACUUCGCCGAGCACAGCGCAAUGCAAAUACCAAUUUUAGCACGUAACACAACAUCUACACAUGACUAGUAUGUUCCUGGAUGUUUACUUUUGGAACUUAAUUUCAGUCGGAAAAAACAGUACUACCCUCUUGUUUGUGAUCUUCAAACUAAAAUGUGUAUGAAAAUGUAAGUGAAGUUAGAGCAUCAAUUUGCCCUAUUUCCUUGGCCCAAUCAGCUUUCUUCAUUAUUCUUUUAGCCUGUUUUUUUUUUUUCAUUCUUUGAGAUUUGUGGGGAUGGGAGUUAAUAGUUUAGAAGUUACCUAUAUGCAUUAAGGUGGGUCAUUUGCAACAAUUUAUUUCAAAAGCUUAUUUAUUACUUCUCCUAUACUUUUUCUUUUAGAUGUUAUCAUUGGGAGGUGUUGUUUUUUAGUGUGCUAUAUCAUCAUUUGCCCUAAAAACUUAAAAUGAAAGGAAGAAAUGUGCUUAAUAAUUUAAUUUAAAAUUUAAUACUCCUUCACAUAUGUGGGUAGGCUUCCACUAAAUAAGUAGAUCCAAGAAGUGAGAUAUCUAUUUGAAAUGAGGUGAAGUGUGAAUUUAAAGUUUGAA